rnacentral:sRNA from 1 species
UUUAACUCUUGUUGAGAGCCUUAUGUACCUUUGACUCUAGUUGAGAGUUUUAUGUACAUUUAAUUCUUAUUGACUCUUUUAGAUUACUUCAAUUUUUGUUCCAUGUUGUGGGCUGUUCUUUCCACUGUUGUGCUGGAACCACCAGCUGAAUCAAUAACUUAGGUUCAUGGGGAGCAAAAGUAUAGAGAUUUGCUCUUGCGAGAUUGAGGGAACGUUACCUCACCAAAUGCCACAUCAAACUCCAAUCUGCUACAUGAGCACAACCAUACAAUAAGGAUAGCCAACAACCAAACAAGAGAAGCCAAUUGACGAGAUGAAGUCUGUGGAGAUCCACGAACAACAUUGCCGAACAAGGAGAAAGUGGUGGUGUCGGACACAUCCGAGCCAGUGAAGCCACUGGAACCCUACACACAAUCUCAGUAGGUUGUAUGGCUGAAGAUCGGAAUAUGGAUGAACAUAUAGGAUAGAUACUGUCUGGGAAAGAGAAACCGAACAUAUCACUAUAACAACCAAGGCUAAAAAACAGAAGUAAGGAAAACAUAUAAGAAGGAAAGGGAGGGGAGGACAGCGACCGACCCCGGCCAAAGCUAGGGUCGGCGUCAUUGGUUUUACUGAAAUUUGGAGGCCUCACACG